CCGAGCCCCGUCGCUCCGCCACCCGCAAGGUCCGACGUGCGCCGUUUAUCCUCCGGGACUUCCCGUGGAUGCACCGAGGGAGGGCCCAGGCGCUCCAACGGGCUGCUGGCGAGUCUGCACCGCUCCCUGCAGGCGACUGGCCUGCGAAGUUUUUAUUUCUAGGAGUUUACACCAAGAAGUCUGGGUUUUACAGGCUCAACGCCACCGAGCUCUAAGUGCAGCCCUCAACCACCCCCUCAGCUCCUCCUAAGAACCCAGCUGGAGGGCUGCCUGGAGGUGGUGAUAUGCCCAAGGGGGAGCCCUUACAGGGCCAGGAAGAGGGCACUAGUGAGCAGGCCUAGUCGCUUGUGUCCCAUCCCGCCACAGCCCCAUCUUGGCAAGACAGAGAGUCCAAAAGGGAUUUCAGCCCCCAGCUUUUAGCCCUCAUUCCUUUCAGUCCUCCAGUGGGAGCAGGUGACCCUGGACCAUGACCACUAGCGGCCUUGGAUUUGUGGCUCUUUAGAAGUUUAGCUCAGACACUGGGAACACAGAAGCCACAUACCAGUCUCCUGCAGGUGGAGAGAGGGUGCCCAGAGACACAGGACUUACCGAGGCCCUAAGACCCCCGGAGUCCUUAGGGUUUGUGGGAGGGACAGGGGGGUCAUAUCCUGUACUUUGUGAUCUUCUGCCCUGUUGAUGACUGGGGGAAGUUGUGGCCCCCCCACCACAGCAUCCUCCCCAUCAUGGAACAGGUGGCAAGGAGGAGGGGACACAGGGACAGUGCCACUCUGCACUGCACCCUAGAGAUCCACACGGCCCUGGAUGGUGAGGUGGAGGACACAGCUGCCCUGAGAACUAGACCAGACCUCAGGACUGCCCUGCCUAGGGAGGGGGACUGGUGACAGAUAGGCUCCUCAAACUCAGCAGGAUAGUAGUUUAUUUAAAUAGAAGGCCCAGGUGGCCUACAGGUAUCCUCUCCCUGGCUCUCAGCAGUGAAAAGUAUUUUGUUUUGUGGUCAUUAUGUGAUACUCAGCUCCUCAAAUGAAGUGCCCCGGUGGGAAUGGGUCCCAGGCAAACAGUAUCGGGAGAGGUACAACCUGCUAGCUGCAGGGGCCUGGGAAGGGGUGGAGCCAAGUCCCCAGGAGAGAGGUUUGUUUGACAUUUCUGUGCUAAUCAGUGUCUGUCUACAAAGGGAGGGGCUGAUUAAGCCCAGGUUGUGAUGAGACAAACAGACCCUACCAGGACAGAGGCCCUCAAAUGAGGUAUGUUUUAAACCGCCUUCUUCUGACCUUGUGGUCUUUACACAGCAGAAGGUGCAAAGGGACUCAGGUGCCCAGCCCUAGUCUGUCUGCCUCUCAGCACCUGGCAGGAGGGAGGCCCAAAGGCAGUAGGCUGUGGGCUGCACGUGGGCUGGGCUUGGGAUGCUCCACGUCAGGUGUGUGCUGGGUUUUGCUCUAACGUUAAGGUGGGAAAGCCAAGGUCGAACUUCUCAGGCAGGUAAGGACCAGCGGUGAUCUUGAAGCCACCUCCUGGAGAGGGCCCUGCUCAAGGCCUAACUCAGCUCCUGCUGAGGCGGUGGCUCCCUGGGGUCCUCUCUACCCAGUCAGGGUGGGUGUGCAGAGACGGCACCCGGGCUCCCUGCUCCUCAGCAGGGGACAGGAAGGUAAAUAGUGUGAGCCGGCCUCACGUGUCACUGUCCACUUACCUGCAGCCUCAUGUGAGUGAGCAGAGUCUGUGACACUCAGGUGACGGCUGAGGUGGCCCUCAACUCUCUGAUGCCCAUCUGCCUGCCCUGGUCAACAGACCACCUCCAGGAGGUGCCAGUCAGCCCUCAUGUCCACAGAGGGCCAGGUUAGGGGGACAAAAGAGGCACAGACAGUGUGAGUCUGAAGAUGGCCUCUUUGUAAAGCAGGUUUGUAAACUGCCCACCCAGUGUGCGAUUCCCUCCUCGCUGGGGACACACUCCUUCACGUGGGCGGCACAGUCCUCGAGUCAUCAAGAUCCUUCACAUCACUUCUACUUCAUUGGCAAGAGUGAUUCAAAACAUUAAAAAGUAAUUUUAUUCAAA